UUAAAGGUACCCGUACCGCAAACCGACACAGGUGGGUGAGGAGAGUAUCCUAAGGCCCGCGAGAGAACUGUUGUUAAGGAACUCGGCAAAAUGACCCCGUAACUUAGGGAUAAGGGGUGCCACCAUCCGGUGGCCGCAGAGAAUAGGCCCAAGCGACUGUUUACCAAAAACAUAGGUUUCUGCUAAGUCGCAAGACGAUGUAUAGGAGCUGACGCCUGCCCGGUGCUGGAAGGUUAAGGGGAUCUGUUAGAGUAAUCGAAGCAGUGAACUUAAGCCCCAGUAAACGGCGGCCGUAACUAUAACGGUCCUAAGGUAGCGAAAUUCCUUGUCGGGUAAGUUCCGACCCGCACGAAAGGCGUAACGAUUUGGGCACUGUCUCAACAACAGACUCGGUGAAAUUGUAAUUCCGGUGAAGAUGCCGGAUACCUGCGACAGGACGGAAAGACCCCAUGGAGCUUUACUGUAGCUUGACAUUGGGUCUUGGUACUACAUGUACAGGAUAGGUGGGAGGCUUUGAAACCAGGACGCCAGUUUUGGCGGAGCCAUCCUUGGGAUACCACCCUUGUAGUACUGGGACUCUAACCAUAGGCCAUGAAUCUGGUCUUGGGACACUGUCAGGUGGGCAGUUUGACUGGGGCGGUCGCCUCCCAAAAGGUAACGGAGGCGCUCAAAGGUUCUCUCAGUACGGUCGGAAAUCGUACGUAGAGUGUAAAGGCAAAAGAGAGCUUGAUUGCAAGACAUACAGGUCGAGCAAGGAUGAAAAUCGGACUUAGUGAUCCGGUGGUUCUGCGUGGAAGGGCCA
rnacentral:rRNA from 1 species